rfam:Stegodyphus mimosarum contig92476, whole genome shotgun sequence.
GCCUUCGGGGUGUAGUGGCCAGCACGCUCGACGCGUAUUCGAGAGGUCCGUGGUUCGAGUCCCGGCGAGAGCA